rnacentral:lncRNA from 1 species
CAAGAGGGUUGUGGCACUUGUGGUUUAUUUUAGAGGUGGUUUAUUCUCUGAAAAGAAAAAAAAAAAGAAAGAAAGAAACAGAAGAAAAAAAAAGAAAGAAAGAAAGAAACAUUCUGAAAUUUUCACAUGGAAUAGAGAUCUCGUCUGCGUCCUGCUGAGUUGCUUUAAAGAGCAACACAAGAGGCAUUCACACAAUCUACUCUGGCAGAACAGUGACGGAGGCAAUAACUUCUAGAAAGAGGGCAGCUGAGGACAGAGAUUUCUACCAAACAGUACAUUUGGAUCUGGAAGAGGAUAUCUGUCCACAUUCCAUUCUUCCUUAAACUAAAAUGACAAGACUUGGUGUCCUAACCUCAGAACGAUUCUAUGGAUUACCAUUUUGCAAAACCUCUCUGAACAAGAGAUGUAUUAUUCCCAUUUUGGAUGAGAGAAGUCAACGUGGGAUUGCUUCCCUGAGUUACCUGGAAAGUGUGACGCUGAAAGAGUAUUUCACCUCAAAGCUCCUGCAGCCCUUUCCACAGGAACAUUUCUUCUACCUAAGCAUUAAUUGUUUUCCUAAUCCCACUCUCCCUCCUAAUCCCAUUCUCCCCCAAAGGAGAAUAGCUAAAUGUAAAAGAAAGCAAGGUAAAACAGUUACAGGUGUCUAGAACGGCUCAGUACUUGUGCUGUAUUUGCCUGUAUAGUGCUCCUUCUGUCUUGCCCAUUUAGGCAAACGUUGUCUCUUUGUAUGCUCCCACACUUUGUGUUUAAUGAUACUGCCCUUAUGUCUUCUACCUCUGAUACAAGAUCCUGAAAAAAAAAAAAAAAAGAAAAAAAAGUAUUUUUCAACUUGAAUGGAAUUCUUUUGUCCAGUCUAAAGUUGCGCUUCACUCCUCAGUGUUCCUUGCCUGCCAAAGGAAAAUUAAAAAAAUAAAUAAAAAAGAAAUUUAAAAGUAUGUUUUCAUUUGCAAACAUUUAAGACUAAUGUAAGGCUACUCACUUUGGAAAAAAACAAAACCAUUUGCAGGGUAUGGUGCACGUGUGUUGGGGAGGGGAGAUAGGGAGAUAUUCAUGUUUCAGAAUUUUCUAAAUCUACUUUUUUUUGAAA